AUUGAACGCUGGCGGCAGGCCUAACACAUGCAAGUCGAGCGAGAGGCGGACGGGUGAGUAAUGUCUGGGAAACUGCCCGAUGGAGGGGGAUAACUACUGGAAACGGUAGCUAAUACCGCAUACCAUCGGAUGUGCCCAGAUGGGAUUAGCUAGUAGGUGGGGUAAUGGAUCACCUAGGCGACGAUCCCUAGCUGGUCUGAGAGGAUGACCAGCCACACUGGAACUGAGCCACGGUCCAGACUCCUACGGUAGGCACCAGUGGUGAAUAUUGCACAAUGGGCGCAAGCCGGAUGCAGCCAUGCCGCGUGUGUGAAGAAGGCCUUCGGGUUGUAAAGCACUUUCAGCGGGGAGGCGUUACCCGCAGAAGAAGCACCGGCUAACUCCGUGCCAGCAGCCGCGGUAAUAC
rnacentral:rRNA from 1 species